rnacentral:rRNA from 1 species
UACGGAGGAUGCGAGCGUUAUCCGGAUUUAUUAGGUUUAAAGGGUACGUAGGCGGCCAAUUAAGCCAGGGGUGAAAUGCUGUGGCUCAACCAUAGCACUGCCUUUGGAACUGAUAGGCUAGAGUGAUGACGGGGUAGGCGGAAUAUGUGGAGUAGCGGUGAAAUGCAUAGAUACCACAUAGAACACCGAUAGCGAAGGCAGCUUACCAGACAUCCACUGACGCUGAUGUACGAAAGCGUGGGUAGCGAACAGG